CUUACCAUGCAAGUCGAACGGGUGAACGAGGAAGCUUGCUCCUCUGAUCAGUGGCGAACGGGUGAGUAACACGUGAGUAACCUGCCCCAGACUCUGGAAUAACAGUUGGAAACAGCUGCUAAUACCGGAUACGAGACGGAGCCGCAUGGCUACUGUCUGGAAAGUUUUUCGGUCUGGGAUGGACUCGCGGCCUAUCAGCUUGUUGGUGAGGUAACGGCUCACCAAGGCGACGACGGGUAGCCGGCCUGAGAGGGCGACCGGCCACACUGGGACUGAGACACGGCCCAGACUCCUACGGGAGGCAGCAGUGGGGAAUAUUGCACAAUGGGCGAAAGCCUGAUGCAGCGACGCCGCGUGCGGGAUGAAGGCCUUCGGGUUGUAAACCGCUUUCAGCAGGGAAGAAGCGAAAGUGACGGUACCUGCAGAAGAAGCACCGGCUAACUACGUGCCAGCAGCCGCGGUAAUACGUAGGGUGCGAGCGUUGUCCGGAAUUAUUGGGCGUAAAGAGCUUGUAGGCGGUUUGUCGCGUCUGCUGUGAAAAUCCGGGGCUCAACCCCGGACCUGCAGUGGGUACGGGCAAACUAGAGUGUGGUAGGGGAGACUGGAAUUCCUGGUGUAGCGGUGAAAUGCGCAGAUAUCAGGAGGAACACCAAUGGCGAAGGCAGGUCUCUGGGCCAUUACUGACGCUGA
rnacentral:rRNA from 1 species